rnacentral:lncRNA from 1 species
CUAAGUAUGCCAACAGCACUGAGGGUGGAAGUGGAUCCCUUUCAUGGUGAUCUCUAGGAACCACAGCCCGAGGUCCCACCGAUGUGCUCUCUUCCUGGCAGAGGCUGUGGUGGUUUGAAUAUGCUUGGCUCAGGGAGUGGCACUGUGGCCUUGCUGGAGGAAGUGUGUCACUUUGGGUGUGGGCUUUGAGACCCUCCUCCCAGCUGCCUGAAAACCAGUCUGCUCCUGGCUUCCUGUGGAUGAAGAUGUAGAACUCUUGGGCUCUUCCUGCAUCGUGCCGGCCUGGUUGCUGCCAUGCUCUUCUGCCGUGAUGAUAAUGAGCUGAACCUCUGAACCUGUAAGCCAGCCCCAAUUAAAUGUUGUUCUUUUUAAGAGUUG